GACGAACGCUGGCGGCGUGCUUAACACAUGCAAGUCGAACGGAAAGGCCCUGCUUUUGUGGGGUGCUCGAGUGGCGAACGGGUGAGUAACACGUGAGUAACCUGCCCUUGACUUUGGGAUAACUUCAGGAAACUGGGGCUAAUACCGGAUAGGAGCUCCUGCUGCAUGGUGGGGGUUGGAAAGUUUCGGCGGUUGGGGAUGGACUCGCGGCUUAUCAGCUUGUUGGUGGGGUAGUGGCUUACCAAGGCUUUGACGGGUAGCCGGCCUGAGAGGGUGACCGGCCACAUUGGGACUGAGAUACGGCCCAGACUCCUACGGGAGGCAGCAGUGGGGAAUAUUGCACAAUGGGCGGAAGCCUGAUGCAGCAACGCCGCGUGCGGGAUGACGGCCUUCGGGUUGUAAACCGCCUUCGCCUGUGACGAAGCGUGAGUGACGGUAAUGGGUAAAUAAGCACCGGCUAACUACGUG
rnacentral:rRNA from 1 species